AUGGAUUACGUUUUAUUGACCAUGCAGCAAAUUACUAUUGGUGUCAUAUAUCUUUGUAAACUUAGGUUUUCCCUCAACUUCUGACCCUGCAUCUCAAUCCAUUUUCCUAGUGUAACUCAGUCUUAAAAGACAGAUACACAGCGAGAGAAAGAGAUGAGGUCUUGGAUAGUCCUGUAGAAGAAUGACAGACUUGACGUUUUAUUGGGCCUCAGGAUGAAGCAAUCUCUAGUGAUGAGUUAACCAUCCCCUCUCUGGGAACCUACGGUGCCGGGAAGGAGAUCAAAAGGAGCAACGGAGGGAUGAUGGAGCGCCCAUCCCCAGCUAGACGCUGUCGAUCGCGGGCGCCGGGCUCCUCUUAUCACCCUGCCGUCGCUCCCCCUGACGGACUGUGUACAGAGAGAGAGAGAGCGAGGAGAGGGAGCACCAGGCGCUUUGAAGAGGGAGGAUUAAGGCCGGGACUGUGACACUCACAAUAACAAGCCGUCCAUGUUCAAGUUAAGGUGCUGGCUGUGAGUUCACGGCACGGCUAGAGGCUGAAGGGUUGAGCUGGAGGAGUAUUUCCACCCAGCAUAGACAAAGGGGGUAGGGCGAUGCCCAAUCUUGGGGAUAGCUACCCCUGGAGCUACUCCAACCAGGAAGUAGGACAGUUCAGCUAAAGACAAACUGACCAUUUUCUUACCCCUUGCUUAUGAACUUGUGCACCUGUUUGGUAUCUACCUUAGUGUCUUAAGAAGUUACCCUUUCACUCCAUGGUCAACAUUGGGCUUAAAAGACUCCUAAGGGAUGAGGGUCCCCAUACAAUGUACAAACAUCACUUCCUGGCUGCUAAAUAUGCAUCCCCUAGAGUUGCAGACCUCUUCCUGAGCAGUAGUCUUAAGGGAGUAGACCUCACACUGUUGGAUUCCAGAGGUCGUCAGUGUCUGUCCACUGGCAUCGCUAUCCUUGAAAGAGCGCUGAUCUUUUACUGUGCCCUCUCCCUGUGGGUCAGAUAUCUAUAUGUUUCCCAUCUUUUAUCCUAAGGAUAGAAACCACUCACUGGCCACCCCUUAAAGAUUGCCAUUCUGUCAUUGUCAUCCCUCCUAUAUUUAUCUGUCUAGUAUAAACCUAGUAUAAGGUUGCAUAAUAAUAAGGUUGCAUACUAAUAUUUCAUCUUGGCACAUUGUGUGAAUAUUCUGUAAUAUUUUAUAGCUCGGAAUUUACAAAUGUGCAGGUCCAU